AACAGUAUCAUCUACCAGCAAACAACUUCAACACAUAGCAACAACAUACAAAUAACGACAAUAACUCCCAAACCUAUUUCUUGUUGCUAACAUCACGUUCAACGAAUGCUAACAUCACGUUCAACGAACAACAACAACAACAGCGAAGAACCCAGCAAAUCGACAAACAAUAACUCUCAACCCGUCAAUGACCCAUCAAAAUGGGUCCAACUUUGGCGACCCAUCCAAUAAUCAGAAAUCGGCCACUCGACCCAUGUCUGGCAGCAGCUUCAACGAAACUUCCAGAAAUGGGAUAGCUUAGCCAAUCAUUGAGCGUACGGAUGGUAUGAUUCUGUAAUGAAUCCAACGUAUCUCUUAUCCCAUUUUUGAAAUUCAAAAGUUUCCUAUGAGAAUCCCAAAAUUUCCCACAUUUUCUUUGUUUCCACAUCAAUUGAGCCUCAAAAAGAUGGAUUCCGUGGUUCUGUUAUAAAAUGCUCUUGGUUGAGCUAAAAAGGGGAUCAAAAAAAGUUGAAAAAGAGGGGAAAAAAUCCUCAAAGCUAAGAGUUUCCUUUCUCAGUAAAAAUUCUUUUUUCGUUCUUUUUUUUGAAAGUUGAUCGAUUAAUCAGAGGUUCUCGAGUUGAUAACACUGAUUUUUUUAUAGUGGUAGAUCCCGACGUCAGCUCAUUGUUCUAUUUUUCUCUCGAAAGCAAGGAUGAAGGAUGGAGUAGAGC
rnacentral:lncRNA from 1 species